rnacentral:rRNA from 1 species
AUUGAACGCUGGCGGCAGGCCUAACACAUGCAAGUCGAACGAGCGGCGGACGGGUGAGUAAUGCCUGGAAAUUGCCCAGUCGAGGGGUAUCAAAGUUGGAAACGACUUCUAAUCCCGCAUACUAUGGGGUUGCCCAGGUGGGAUUAGCUAAUUGGUGGGGUAAGGGCUCACCAAGGCCACGAUCCCUAGCUGGUCUGAGAGGAUGAUCAGCCACACUGGAACUGAGACACGGUCCAGACUCCUACGGGAGGCAGCAGUGGGGAAUAUUGCACAAUGGGCGAAAGCCUGAUGCAGCCAUGCCGCGUGUGUGAAGAAGGCCUUCGGGUUGUAAAGCACUUUCAGCGAGGAGGCGUUACUCGCAGAAGAAGCACCGGCUAACUCCGUGCCAGCAGCCGCGGUAAUAC